CGGCCACUCACGUCAAAACUCUGGUUCCCGUACGAUCAGCGAAGUUAAGCAUAGUCGAGCUUGGUUAAUACCUACAUUGGUGACCGUUUGCGAAUAUCAGGUGCUGUAAG